rnacentral:lncRNA from 1 species
UGUCAAAUCAUGAAUGUUAUGCAACGCAUAUGUUAGCAUAGACGAAGUCCAAGGCUCUCCGAGUACGCCGACGUCGAAGACCGCGAGGAGGACUUUUAUUUCUACAUUUUGUAGUCUUCUUUUGUUCUACAUAUUGUAGUACUCAUGUGAUGUAAUCCUAUGUAAUAGAUAUGUUGGAAUUCUUAAUCAGGGGUUUUCUCUUCGGAGAUGUAAUUAACAGAAUUUUUAUGUAAAUGUAAGAGUUCUGGAAAUAAUGUACCUGCAAUGUUUGAUCCUAUUUUUAUUGUAUGCAUUUAUGAAUUUAAAUUUCACUCUGUAUCAAUGACGUGGACGCGUGUUCCCACGCCCGCCAUUUUCCCGUCAUCAGAUUCUGGCACGCCCAGUGGGACCUAUUUCUCCCCUCAUCUUUGAAUUCCAACAUAGGAUUGCAACAUAUGAAUUCCCAUAGUACAUAAAGCAUAAAACAUUAUGCCCCCAUAUACAAAAAAAUCAAAGAAAACUAAUAUAUAUGGUUUUCUUUAUUUUGAAUGUAUGGAGGGCCAAGUGCAGCAGUUUGUGACCCUUCGCUUUGGUGACCUUUGGCUUAAUGUGCCAAUUGGUCCUAUCAUGACCUCACUAAGUGAAAGUUGGAAGACUACUGCUGCAUCUCCAGUUGUACCAGAUCAAGAAGAAGUCACUUCUCCACCAAUGGAGGGGGUUCACACCUGUUUUGUCAAAGUCUGCAAAGAGGAAAAUGAGGGCUGCUAGAAAGAGGGUUGCUCAGAGUUCUACAGGAAGGGUUACUCAUGCUCCAGUGUCAGUAAUGAAAGGAAAGAUAGUUGAAGCAGAACCAUCUGACCACCAGCAAUCCAAGGACAAGGGAAAGAAAGUGGUGUUUGAGAAAUCCGAGUUUCCGCCACUUGUUUACAAGGGAAAAGAGAGAAUGGUAGAGACACUCAACUCCAAGCUACCUGAGAAAAGAGGCGGCGUUGUGGUCAUAUUGCCGUCAUCGUCAUCUUCAACAGGAAGGCCCACCAACGCUCGGAAUAUACUUCGAGCCGAUGCUCCUGAGUUUGUCCCCUCACUGGCCCAUAAACCUAGUGAGGAACACUUGGGAAUAAUGCAAAAACGUUCUGUGGAAUGGAAGAGAGUGUGCCUUACAUCUGGUGACCUCAAAACAGGCCACAUAAAUCCAACAUCUGCACCAUCAGUUGCUCUGUUUGAAGAAGCACCCAUCCUACGAGAGUCCUUUGAAGGUUCGUUUGAUCCAGUGCGACAUCAACGACGACAGAGAAAUGUCCGUCGAUCUUGGAUUGAUCUUCCAGCUGCCGUAGAUCAAGGGGCGGCGAGCCGACACCGUUCUCAUGUGAGCAAGUCCGUCAAGGGGAGAUGGAAAAACACUCGUCCAAAGAUCCAAGUUCGGAAUCCAGAUGACUCAUAUGUUGUUAAAUGCAUAUGUCAAGCAAUAAGGUCACAGCUUCCCGGUGCAUCCACAUCACAAAAUGAUGAGGGUGGUGCCAUCAUGCGACUGGCGGAGGCCCUGGCCCAACGGCCUGAGUACCAAGAGUUCAUUCAGCAACAUCCUGAACAUCAAGAGUAUGCGAACCAAGCUGCUCAUGUCCGUUCAAGAAGAGUCAAAGGAGCAGAACGGGCAAGGUCUGGGUCAAGCAGAGUCAAAGGGGCAGAACACGCCCCAUCAGAUGAGGACAGUCAGGCUAAAGUGAACAAGUGGCUAUCAAAUCCAUCAAAUGAGGUGGCCACGAGCUUGUCUCCAUGGCCCUCUCGUAAGCAAACCAAGAAUAAAUCAUUCGAAGUGUUCCAAGCAAUGCCAGUUGGUGUCAGGGCGGCGUCAGACAAGACCAGCGAAACAUCCUCCACAUCAACACAUUUCAAGAGGAAGAAGGCACGCAAAACUGUCAUAGAAGGUCCUCGUCGUAGUACACGAAGCCAAAAGGGUUCAGAUUAUGAAGAACUUGGGUCUAGCUGUGGUGGGUCUUAUAAUCCCCUAUCGGACAGUACCCCAUGUCCUUCUGAAAAUGAGAUAGAACUCCACCAUGGUGCAGAGCAUACAGAACAAGUCCUAGCCGCGAAUGAAACUCGUUCGGUCGAGGAGCAAUUAGCCAACCUUACGGCAGCGCUUUAGCAAAAGGAAGACGAGCUAGCAGCUCUUCAAAUUCAGAUGAGCAAUAACCAGAACAAAGGAAAUAAAGAGAAUAGUGGACUAAUCAAUCAAACAAAUUUAGAUGCAAGAAUGCAAGGAAACAGAAAGGUAAAUCCUAAUGCGUACGGGGUUAUGGCUGGAGGGCAGAGGGAGGUAAGCGAAGCCUCGUCUCCAUUUCGUCUAGUAGGGCUAAUAGAAUAUUGUGGAUGACUAUUUAAAAAGAUAGUCGAGGGAGGCACGGGUGGAGUUUGUUAGCCGGAUGAGGUUGUUGGCUGGAUAAUCUCAAACAGGGCCUGCCUUUUAGCUUCAACCGCGGCAGGAUAAAUUAGCGUCAUGGAGAUAAAAAAAGUAGUAGAAGUGCAUGACCAUACGUAGCUGGCACACAACUAACUAAAAGUCGUGAGCCCAUAUACUCACGUGAUACACUUUGUAAACCAAAAAUAACAUGUAUAACCAAGUUUCGAGCUCUGGGCCCGACUCAAAAAAACUUCUCUUCAAACCCAGACCUCGAGGGGCAUUUGUUGACUUGGAUUUCGACCAAGAUAAAUAAAAAGCAUGAACCACACAAAAUAUGAACACAAAAUGGCAAAAAUCUGUUUUAUAAUUAAAAAAAUCAAUUAUAAUCAACCGCUCAAAUUGGUGACUGGAAAAAUAGGUCUACGAUCCAUUUCUAGAUGUCGAUAAUGCGGAUACUGAAAAGGGCCGAGAAAUUAUAAAAUGUAUCAAGAUAAAUAGUCAUGAAGUAUCGUCCUAAAAAUACAGAGAACACGUGGCUCGCAUACACAUAUGUUGUCACCGACGGAGAAUUCUAAUGUCGACAUAAAUUCAAAUCAUCUUAGACGCGGAUGGUAUUACUAAAAUAUUGGAUCGCAGAGUAAAUUUGGACAUUAUUCCGGCGAUGUGAAUGAAAUUUCAUACAACAUAUAUAAAAGGGAAAAAUGUUCCGUGUGACGACAUAUAAAAAAAUGUCAGAGUGUUAUCAAAAUAUUGGCGUGCAACUUUGAUUGAGAAAAUAUCAUUUCAUUCAUUUUUUUACACCACCUUAAGGAAGUAAGCCUCGAUGAGCCAUUUCAAUUAAUCAAGCUUGGUUCAUUUAAAUAAAAUGAUCACGUACAUGUGCUUGGGUCCAUAUUAAAAGAAAGGGACAAUGGCUACGUACAUGCAUGCAUAUCCUAUUCCAUCAGCCGAUUGCAUGCAAAGAAAUUAGUUCGUGCCUAGAGCCCACACGUUACGUGGCAAAAUUAAGCCCAGUUGAUGGGACAUUGCCGGUAAUUAGUGAUUAAACAAAUAGAAAAAGAGAAAUGAGCCAGCCACGCUCCCACGUUCUUGGACACGAUCCCACGAUCAGAACGUGGGCAGGCGCGCGUACAGCCAGGCCUCCACUGCUUCCCUCCGUCCCUAUAAAUACCAGGCCGCUCGACUCCUCUAAGGUCGCUCAUUUCCCUAUCCACACGCCAUCGCUGCUGCUGCUCGCUCAUCGAUCAAUCACUCAUUCGUGAAGAAGCUCGUCGCUGCUCAUUCACAUCCAUCCAUCGCUGCUCGCCUGGCAUCGCUCGCUUGCACACAUGCGCGCCUGCGUACACGCUGCCGGCCGUCCGUCUCGCCAUUCGUCUCGUCGUUGCGCCGGCCGGCCGUCUCGUCUCACCGUCCGUUCCGCCGCCGGCCGCCGUCUCAUCAUCGUCGCCGUCGCGCCGGCCGUCCGUCCCGCCGCCGGCCGCCGUCUCAUCAUCGUCGUCGUCGCGCCGGCCGUCCGUCUUGCCGUUCGUCUCGUCUUGUCGUUCGCCUUCUCCGUCCACGUAGGAGACAAGGUGAGACUAUGGCUACGUCAUUGCUCCCCCGAUGAUGCCUUCUUCUUGCACCAUAUGUGUUCUAUAGUUUUGGUGUCAUACAUUGCCCCCGCAUAUAUAGUUUCUCAUCUCUUGGUUCGGUCUCAUGGUGAGCUUGAUCCCAUGAUGAUACAAAUCAGGGAAAUAGAUGAUAUGCCGAGUCUAGUCACAUAUUGAUCUUCAUCCUAUAUACUGAUGCGAACUAAGUGCACAUGUGCAAUAAAAAAUCUUCUUGUCUUCGUCCCAUGAUACAAGUCAAGACUAAAAAUUAUACUCAUCUUGUUUUGGUCUCAUGGUGGUCUUGCACCUCCAUGUUGAUACAAUUCAAGAACAAAUUAUAUAUGUCUUGUUUUGGUCACAUGGUGAUCUUGAACAUUCAUGUUGAUACAAUUCAAGAAUCAAACUAUAUCCAUCUUGUUUUGGUCUCAUGGUGAUCUUGCAUCUCCGUGCUGAUACAAUUCAAGAACAAAUUAUAUAUGUCUUGUUUUGGUCUCAAGGUGAUCUUGCAUCUCCAUGAUGAUACAACUCAAGAACAUAUUAUGUCCAUCUCGUUUUGGUCUAAUGGUGAUCUUGCAUCUCCAUGAUGAUACAACUCAAGAACAAAUUAUGUCCAUCUCGUUUUGGUCUGAUGCUGAUCUUGCACCUCCAUGUUGAUACAACUCAAGACCAAAAAUUAUGCUCAUCUUGUUUUGGUCUCAUGGCGAUCUUGCAUCUCAUGUUGAUACAAUUCAAGAAUAAAGUAUGUCCAUCUUGAUUUGGUCUCAUGGUUAUCUUGCAUCCCAUGUUGAUACAGAUCAAGGAUAGAAAUAGAAAUAAAGCUCAUAUUGAUUUGGUUUCAUAAAGUCCUAUUUUGUUGGAAAUUCACACAUGUUUCUUCCAUAUAAUUUAUAGUCUGGCUAGACCCCUAAACGCAUCAGUAUAGGGUGUAAACUUGGAGCAUGCGGCUAUAUAUUCAUUAGUCUCAAGAAGUAGCAUUAUACGCUCGGUUUUUGUACUAGUGAAAACCCAUGAGAAACAAAGCCAUGACAACUCAAUAUACAUGACUUUUGCUCUUCAUAGUUUAGGGUCAUAUAUAUAUAGACUUUGAGAAUUGUCAUAUACUUCAUCAUGUCCAUGCAAAACAUAUACUGAUAUAUACUUCUGUUUGGUUACACCACAAGCAUACAAUCUAUGCUACGUGGUGAUAAUACAAGCAAGAAGAAGUCCCGACACUUCAUUUAGUUAUGCUACAUAUGGGCACGAAGUUGCUAAAUGAUGUUAGUACUAAUACAAGUGAAGCAAAACUUUAUAAAAGAAAUAUUCUCAUUCAAACCCAUAUAAAUAUUUGCCUAGAUCCACUUACUCGCAUGCCCAUAUAUGACAUGUUUGAGACUAGCAAAACUAGUAUUUAAGCAUAAACGAUAUGUCAUAAUAUAAUCUCUCAUACGGAUUAAAAUUGUACCAUGCAUAGAAAUGUAACUAGGGUCAUAGCCUAUGUUACUCACAUUAAACAUAAUAUAGUGCAAUCGAGUAUGUCAUCAACAAGUUUCAUAUAGUCCUCGCAUAUAAUGGCUCGAGGCAACGCUAUAUACGUUGCUAUAAAAUAAACCCAACUCAUAAAAAUAGUUAUGCCCUAUAUGGCAUAUAUACCGUUAGCCCGGCUAGUUAACCAUUAAUACAACUACUACAUAUUUUCGAUGGUUAAUGAGCUAGGCAUGAACGUUGUCAAAUCAUGAAUGUUAUGCAACGCAUAUGUUAGCAUAGACGAAGUCCAAGGCUCUCCGAGUACGCCGACGUCGAAGACAGCGAGGAGGACUUUUAUUUCUACACUUUGUAGUCUUCUUUUGUUCUACAUAUUGUAGUACUCAUGUGAUGUAAUGCUAUGUAAUAGAUAUGUUGGAAUUCUUAAUCAGGGGUUUUCUCUUUGGAGAUGUAAUUAACAGAAUUCUUAUGUAAAUGUAAGAGUUCUGGAAAUAAUGUACCUGCAAUGUUUGAU